AUGGUGUUUCUGUUGAGGCUCCUCCAGGGCCUUUGCGUAAGCUGCUCCAGUGGAGGGAUCCAGCCACAGAGUGCAGCUGUCCGCUCUCGGCUCAGCCAUCCUGGCAUCUGGAAAGCCCUCCCUGGCUUCCUGGACAGCUGUCACUUGAUCAUCGUGGACUUCCCUGGUCUCCUCACCUUCAACUGGAGCGUCCGAGACCAGCCAGCUGUACCUCCUUCAUUCUGUUCUGCGGAGAGGGACCGGAUGGACUCAGCUUGCCUCUGGCUGUGCACACCCUGGCUCUGGGCGGCUAGCAUCUGGGUGCACCGGCCUUGGGCCAGGGGGACCUUCAGGACCAAUCAUGAGGAGCCUCACGAUGGAGAAAGAGUUGAGAGCCCUGAGCCCACUUUAUGGAUGCUUGGAAGAGAAGGGAGAGCCUGCAAGACUAGAAGCAAGUGUGUUGAUACUGGCCCUCACGGGGCUCCUGAGCACUUAAGUGUUUGGCUUCAAGAGUGA
rnacentral:lncRNA from 1 species